rnacentral:rRNA from 1 species
ACACUGACGCUCAUGUACGAAAGCGUGGGUAGCAAACAGGAUUAGAUACCCUGGUAGUCCACGCCCUAAACGAUGUCAACUGGUUGUUGGGGGAGUGAAAUCCCUUAGUAACGAAGCUAACGCGUGAAGUUGACCGCCUGGGGAGUACGGUCGCAAGAUUAAAACUCAAAGGAAUUGACGGGGACCCGCACAAGCGGUGGAUGAUGUGGAUUAAUUCGAUGCAACGCGAAAAACCUUACCUACCCUUGACAUGUCCGGAAUCCUGAAGAGAUUUGGGAGUGCUCGAAAGAGAACCGGAACACAGGUGCUGCAUGGCUGUCGUCAGCUCGUGUCGUGAGAUGUUGGGUUAAGUCCCGCAACGAGCGCAACCCUUAUCAUUAGUUGCUACGCAAGGGCACUCUAAUGAGACUGCCGGUGACAAACCGGAGGAAGGUGGGGAUGACGUCAAGUCCUCAUGGCCCUUAUGGGUAGGGCUUCACACGUCAUACAAUGGUCGGUACAGAGGGUUGCCAAGCCGCGAGGUGGAGCCAAUCCCAGAAAGCCGAUCGUAGUCCGGUUUGUUCUCUGCAACUCGAGAGCAUGAAGUCGGAAUCGCUAGUAAUCGCGGAUCAGCAUGUCGCGGUGAAUACGUUCCCGGGUCUUGUACACACCGCCCGUCACACCAUGGGAGUGGAAUCUGGCAGAAGUAGGUAGCCUAACCGCAAGGAGGGCGCUUACCACGCUGGGCUUCAUGACUGGGGUGAAGUCGUAACAAGGUAACCGUA